UCGUUGCUUCGGUCGGUGAAGUCGCCGCCGUGGAUUGAGCAGUCGUUGCUUCGGU
ensembl:miRNA gmo-mir-11266b gmo-mir-11266b